rnacentral:rRNA from 1 species
GGUUAUACGAAAGACCCAAGUUGAUAGUCACCGGCGUAAAGAGUGGUUAAGAUAAAUCCACAAACUAAAGCCGAACAUCUUCAAAGCUGUUAUACGCACACGAAGAAAGGAAAUCCAACCACGAAAGUGGCUUUAUAUUAUCUGACCCCACGAAAGCUAUGAUACAAACUGGGAUUAGAUACCC